rnacentral:rRNA from 1 species
AUGUCCGCUGGCUCCUCCGCGAUCGUGGCCGACACGGCGCGCGGGCACUACCACCUGAAGAUCGACGGCUACUCGGUCACCAAGUUUGCCCUCCCUAAGGGAGAGUGCCUCAGGUCUCAACCAUUCUCCGUGGGAGGCCGCCGCUGGGUCAUCGAGUACUACCCCAACGGCGACCGACUCGUGGCCGCGAGGUACAUUUCCCUCCACCUCGUCCUCGACGACGUCGUCGCCGGAGAAGUGCGUGCGCAAGUCCAGUUUGGCUUUGAGGCAGACGAGGAGGAAAAUAAGCCUGCGCUCUCCUUUCUCAAGAGGCGGGGACGGAAGCCCGCGCCGUUGAAGCUCGGCAAGGUGGAGGCCCCCGUCCGCCCUGAUGUCUGGGAAUGUCCCAAGUUCGUCAAGAGAAAGGCCCUGGAGAAAUCCAACCAUCUCAAGGACGAGUCCUUCACCAUCAGGUGCGACAUCAUCGUCCUCAACGAGUUCCGCGCCAAGAAGGGGCUGCCGCCGGGCCCCGCUCUCAGAUCCAUCCCCGUGCCCCCGUCCGACCCGGGCCAGCAGCUCGGCGACCUCCUCGCGGCCAAGAAGGGCGCCGACGUGGUCUUCGAGGUCGGCGGCGAGACGUUCCCGGCGCACCGGUGCCUGCUCGCAGCCCGCUCACCAGUCUUGAGCGCGGAGCUCUUCGGCCCGAUGAGGGAGAGCACCGGCGCCGGCACGGUCCGUGUAUCCGACAUGGAGGCGGGUGUGUUCAGGGCGCUGCUCCGCUUCGUGUACACGGACUCGUGGCCGCCGGAGACAGCGGAGGAAGAGGAAUUCGCCAUGGCCCAGCAUCUGCUCGUGCCGGCCGACAAGUGCCGCAUGGAGAGGCUCAAGCUGAUCUGCGAGGACAAGCUGUGCAAGAACAUCGCGGCGGGCACGGCGGCGAGCAUCCUGGCGUUAGCUGAGGUGCACCACUGCCAUGAGCUCAAAGGUGCAUGCUUCCAUUUCCUCAGCUCUCCGAAGAACCUGACGGCAACCAUGGCCGGCGACGACUUCGAGAAUCUGCGCUCAAGCUUCCCUUCUCUUGUCAAGGAGCUGAUUGCCAAGUGCUCGGCCGACACCUAA